GAGAUCUGGAGAUGGAGGCAUCUGCUAAUGGACUAAGUUUCAGGAGGCGUUGAUUACACACUUCACGCGGAAAUAAUUGCUAAUCUUCAACAGUGCUAAUUGAGUGAUAAUUCUGCCCUUUCAAGGUGAUUUAACCUGUCAGAGGCCCAGGCUUUUAGGAAGAUUACGUGAGAUAAUACAAGCUCUAUUGGGGGAAAUGGAGAGAAGUCAAAUACCUUUCUUGGUUGAAAGGAGAGGUUUCAUUUUGGUGUGAUGCCUGCCAUAGACUCACCCACUCGGGGCCUGGCUGGGGAGUGAAUGCUGGGGUGGGUGGAGGUUUCUCAUUUCAAUCCCUGAGGGCCUCAGGCCUUCUCCCC
rnacentral:lncRNA from 1 species